ncrna:unclassified sequences GA-cis RNA
GAAAGGAGGACGCAUAUGUGCGAAGCACAUAUUUAGGAUGCGUCCGACGACCUGCCGCCGAACGAAUGUGAGGAGGCAAUACCGCGA